GCUGAUGUAGCUCAGUCGGUAGAGCACUUCAUUGGUAAUGAAGAGGUUCGGCGGUUCAAGUCCGCUCAUCAGCUCCA
rnacentral:tRNA from 1 species